rnacentral:misc_RNA from 1 species
AGAGAAUUGUCUAGUCACGUGUUGUCUAGUUUCAGUGUCUGAAACAAACACACCUCAAAUCUAUCGACUUCGUAAGCAUUAAUGAUGUUGCAGUUGGAUGAUUGAAGAACGUUUUCCCUUGUUGCCCCAGUGCAUAGAAAAUCACAUUAAUGACAAGAUUCAAUACACCAUCUUCAAGUUCAUUGCAAACUCCUUGCUAGUGCAACAACCACUGCAAGCGAUAAUAUCCCAUUGAAACUAAAAAUAAUGCUUCAAAAGAAUGUUCUAAAAAUUCUACCAAAUUAUAAACCUGAAAUUCAAGUUUGAAAGAUCAAUGAAAUUAAAGCCAUAUUUAGAUUACUGUAGGUGUACUGUGGCCUUGUCUUCUUUCUCCAAUCCUUGUUUCAAACUGGUGUGGUCAUGCAUGGAAGAGAAGUCCUCCCCUUCUUUCCGUAUCUUCGCCGCUCUUUCUUCUACCUCAAUCUACCCACCUAUCUAUUACUGAUCGGGCAACCACAUGCCUACAUUCUCAAAUCUGGCAUUUCCACAACUACAACCCCCACCACCAAUCUCCUCUCUCUGUGUGCAAAUUAUCACUCACCACCCGACCCCAAUGUCCUUUCCUUUUCUGCUCUAAUCUACGAAUUUACAAAGCUUAAUAAUUUUGGUCAGGCUAUCCGUAGCUCCUCUCAAAUGCUCUCUCAGGGUGUCAUGCUUGAUAGACAUGUCUUGCCUACCAUCAUCAAGGCAUGUGCUGGGUUAUCUUUCUUGAACACUGGGAAGCAGGUUCAUUGUAUCGCAUCUGUAUCUGGGUUUGAUUCGGAUUCGCGUGUUUUAUCCUCUUUGGUACAUUUGUAUCUUAAAUGCAACAGAAUAAAGGAUGCUCAGAAGGUGUUCGAUAGGCUGCCUCAACCGGAUGUUGUUGCUUACAGUGCUUUGCUUGCAGGUUAUGCACGAAAGGGCUGUGUAAAAGAGACAAAGGAGUUGUUUUCUAAGAGGGCAGACGAGGGUGUGGAACUGAAUUUGGUGUCCUGGAAUGGGAUGAUUGCUGGGUUUAACCAUAGCGGACGCCAUCUGGAAGCAGUUAUUAUGUUUCAAAAGAUGCAUUUGGAAGCAUUUAAACCCGAUGGGACUAGUAUAUCUAGUGUGCUCUCAGCAGUUGGUGACCUGGAAAUGUUGAUCCUGGGAUUCCAGAUUCAUGGAUAUGCGAUUAAAAUGGGUAUAGGACAGGACAAGUGUGUGGUUAGUGCUCUCAUUGAUAUGUAUGGGAAAUGUGCAUGCACAUUGGAGAUGUCAGAAGUGUUUGAUGAGAUGUGUCAGAUGGAUGUAGGUGCUUGUAAUGCUUUAGUUAUGGGCCUCUCACGAAAUGGUCUUGUUGACAAUGCCUUGAAGGUGUUUAGACAAUUCAAGGGCCAAGGGAUUGAACUGAAUGUUGUUUCAUGGACAUCAAUUAUUGGUAGUUGCUCCCAGAAUGGGAAGGAUAUUGAGGCAUUGGAGCUUUUCAGAGAAAUGCAGCUUGUGGGGGUAAAGCCAAACUCUGUAACAAUUCCAUGCUUGCUUCCAGCUUGUGGGAAUAUUGCAGCAUUAAUGCAUGGGAAGGCAGCGCAUUGCUUUUCUCUUAAAAGUGGAAUUUCCAGUAAUGUUUACGUGGGUAGUGCACUGAUUGACAUGUAUGCGAAGUGUGGAAGAAUACAUGUUUCUAAGCUUUGUUUUGAUAUGAUGCUCACCAGAAACUUAGUUUCUUGGAAUGCAUUAAUGGCAGGAUACGCAAUGCAUGGAAAGACUAAGGAAGCUAUUGACAUCUUUCAAUGGAUGCAAAGGAGUGGGCCAAAGCCUGAUUUUGUUAGCUUCAUUUGUGUACUAUCCGCAUGCAGCCAAGGUGGUCUAACAGAUGAAGGUUGGUACUAUUUUCGCAGCAUGUCCAAAGAUUAUGGUAUUGAAGCUAGAUUGGAGCAUUAUGCUUGCAUGGUGAAUCUUCUGGGUCGUGCUGGGAGGCUGCAAGAGGCGCAUACAAUGAUCAAACAAAUGCCUUUCAAACCUGAUGCUUGUGUUUGGGGUGCUUUGCUUAGUUCAUGCAGAGUACACAAUAAUGUUAGUUUAGGUGAGAUUGCUGCGAAGAAACUCUUUGAGUUAGAACCAAGAAAUCCUGGGAACUACAUUCUUCUUUCAAAUAUCUAUGCUUCUAAGGCAAUGUGGGAUGAAGUAAAUAUGGUGAGGAACAUGAUGAAGAGCAAGGGCUUGAGGAAGAACCCUGGCUGUAGUUGGAUUGAGAUCAAGAGCAAAGUGCAUAUGCUCGUUGCUGGUGACAACUCGCAUCCACAAAUGGCACAAAUUAUUGAAAAAUUGGCUGAAUUGAGCAUUGAAAUGAAAAAAUCAGGUUGCUUUCCAGACACCGACUUUGUGUUGCAAGAUGUGGAGGAACAGGACAAGGAGCAAAUCUUAUGUGGCCACAGUGAGAAGUUAGCUGUAGUGCUGGGGCUUCUGAAUACUAGCCCAGGGUCUUCAAUUCAAGUGAUUAAGAACCUUAGGAUCUGCGGUGACUGUCAUGCUGUUAUAAAAUUCAUAUCCAGCUUUGAAAAGAGGGAGAUAUUUGUCAGAGACACUAAUCGCUUUCAUCAUUUUAAAGAUGGAGUUUGUUCUUGUAGAGAUUACUGGUGAACUGCACAAAUGUUUGUUGGGAAUCCUACUGUUAUCCUUAAGAAUAUUGAAGAUUCUUCGUCUAGAUCACAACCUGAUACCAGGUGUAUAUUGCAUGAGGUAUGCUUCCCAAUGAACCUGAAGGUGUCAAGCUAAACUAUGUUACAGAGGACGGACAAGGGCUUCUAGUUCAUUUCACUUGCACAUAAACAGAUGCAUGUAAAGGAAAACAUGGAAACUGGGAGAGUUCAACUGUUGAUAUUAUUAUCAUGUUUUCUUCGUGACUUCUUGUUUUGUACCACAUCACAAGGAUACAUUAAUUUCUUUAAUUUUUGCAGAACAAUGUAUUUAUAGUGGAUGUAAAUGAUGAAUUCAUUCUCUCCCUGCCCCUGUCCCUUUCUCCCCAAGUCUCUUCUCCAUCCAAAGGUGAGAAGGUAAUUCUUUGCUUAUAGAUGUAGCAUAUAUGCCCAUUUCCCUCAUCAUAUAAAUGUUCAGAACUUUAAGAUAAUUAAAU